GGGCGUAUGGCUCAGUUGGAUAGAGCGUCGGCCUCCGGAGCCGAAAGCCACAGGUUCGAAUCCUGUUACGCCCA
rnacentral:tRNA from 1 species